rnacentral:rRNA from 1 species
UAUGCACGCUGGCGGCGUGCCUAAUACAUGCAAGUCGAGCGAACAGACGAGGAGCUUGCUCCUCUGACGUUAGCGGCGGACGGGUGAGUAACACGUGGAUAACCUACCUAUAAGACUGGGAUAACUUCGGGAAACCGGAGCUAAUACCGGAUAAUAUAUUGAACCGCAUGGUUCAAUAGUGAAAGACGGUUUUGCUGUCACUUAUAGAUGGAUCCGCGCCGCAUUAGCUAGUUGGUAAGGUAACGGCUUACCAAGGCAACGAUGCGUAGCCGACCUGAGAGGGUGAUCGGCCACACUGGAACUGAGACACGGUCCAGACUCCUACGGGAGGCAGCAGUAGGAAAUCUUCCGCAAUGGGCGAAAGCCUGACGGAGCAACGCCGCGUGAGUGAUGAAGGUCUUCGGAUCGUAAAACUCUGUUAUUAGGGAAGAACAAAUGUGUAAGUAACUAUGCACGUCUUGACGGUACCUAAUCAGAAAGCCACGGCUAACUACGUG